rnacentral:rRNA from 1 species
UAUCAAAAACAUCACCUCUAGCAUAUCAAGUAUUAGAGGCACUGCCUGCCCAGUGACAUACGUUAAACGGCCGCGGUACUCUGACCGUGCAAAGGUAGCAUAAUCAUUUGUUCCUUAAUUAGGGACUUGUAUGAACGGCCACACGAGGGUCUAACUGUCUCUUUCUUCCAAUCAGUGAAAUUGACCUCCCCGUGAAGAGGCGGGGAUAAACCUAUAAGACGAGAAGACCCUAUGGAGCUUAAAUUAAUUAGUUCAACCACAAAACAUAUACCCUACGGGGCCACCCAACAGUUUAAUGAACUAACAAUUUUGGUUGGGGUGACCUCGGAGAACAAAAAAACCUCCGAAUGAUACUAUAACCCAGACUUAACCAGUCGAAGUCCAUAAAUCACUUAUUGACCCAAUUAUUGAUCAACGGAACAAGUUACCCUAGGGAUAACAGCGCAAUCCUAUUUUAGAGUCCAUAUCGACAAUAGGGUUUACGACCUCGAUGUUGGAUCAGGACAUCCCAAUGGUGCAGCAGCUAUUAAAGGUUCGUUGUUCAACGAUUAAAGUCCUACGUGAUCUGAGUUCAGA